rnacentral:lncRNA from 1 species
AACACACAAAAUUCCAGAACUCUGUUUGGACCGGAUGUCUGAAUCUCAAAAUGAACAACUGAAUGUAAAAUUGGCACGAGCCAUUUAUGCCAGCGCAGCUCCUCUGAACAUGGUUGAAAACAAGUUCUGGGUGAAGUUUUUUGCCAGCAUGCGUCCAUUGUACAAAAUUCCCAGCAGGCACACAAUGUCCAAUGCAUUGUUAGAGCAAGUCUAUGUACAAACUUCAAUCAAAGUACAAGAGCUGGUUGCAGGAGCUUCUAGUGUUGCCAUAAUAUUGGAUGGCUGGAGCAACAUAAGAAAUGAAUCAUUAAUAAAUGUCAUCAUUACAGUACCAGAGCCUGUGUUUUGGACCAGUACCAA